GAUGAACGCUGGCGGCGUGCCUAAUACAUGCAAGUCGAGCGAACGGACGAGAAGCUUGCUUCUCUGAUGUUAGCGGCGGACGGGUGAGUACCCCGUGGAUAACCACCCUAUAAGACUGGGAUAACUUCGGGAAACCGGAGCUAAUACCGGAAAAUAUUUUGAACCGCAUGGUUCAAAAGUGAAAGACGGUCUUGCUGUCACUUAUAGAUGUAUCCGGGCUGCAUUAGCUAGUUGGUAAGGUAACGGCUUACCAAGGCAACGAUGCAUAGCCGACCUGAGAGGGUGAUCGGCCACACUGGAACUGAGACACGGUCCAGACUCCUACGGGAGGCAGCAGUAGGGAAUCUUCCGCAAUGGGCGAAAGCCUGACGGAGCAACGCCGCGUGAGUGAUGAAGGUCUUCGGAUCGUAAAACUCUGUUAUUAGGGAAGAACAUAUGUGUAAGUAACUGUGCACAUCUUGACGGUACCUAAUCAGAAAGCCACGGCUAACUACGUG
rnacentral:rRNA from 1 species